CCGGUACCUACACUGUCACAGCAGUCUGCACAGAGGUGCUGACAGCUAGCAACCUCAUCACCAGUGAAGGCUGUGGCUCUGCCCCUCAAAGUGAAUUGGGAGGUUCUUCACCC